AUGGCCGCGGCGGCGCUAGGGUUCGCGGCGAGGAAGAUUGGCGGCCAUGCGCUCCGGCAGACGCAGGAGACGGUAGUAUCGCGGCUCUCGCCGGCCGUCGAGCUGGGGCAGCGGCAGCUCGUUCCAAGGUUCAUCCACACCGAGCAGCAGCAAACUCACAGUCGUGGGGGCGAGAAGGAGCGCGUCCUGAAGCGAAUCCAGAGGAUGAAGGAGGAGUUGUACGACGAGAUGGCGGAAGCGGACGAGAUGUACGGCAGAGACAAGGACCCCGAAUGCCGGAUGAACAAGCAGCUGCUCCGCGAGCUCACCGACCACGUCUGCAGGCGUAACUCCGGCGACGCCGUCUGGGACGCGGCUCGGUCGGCGAAAGCUACGGGACGAUCUGGUGGGUUUCAUGGGCAUCGUAGCCCGUACACCGGGGCGAGCUGCUUGCUCGAGGAAGCGGCGAAGCGGGUGUGGGCGGCCUUCUUCUCUAAGCGAUGA
rnacentral:rRNA from 1 species